UUAGAGUUAAGUUAAGUUUAAAACUACUAAUUUUCAAAAUUAGAAAUAAUUUCUAAA
rnacentral:tRNA from 1 species